UACGUAGGGCGCAAGCGUUGUCCGGAAUUAUUGGGCGUAAAGAGCUCGUAGGCGGUUUCGUAAGUCGGAUGUGAAAACUCAGGGCUCAACCCGGAGACGCCAUCCGAUACUGCGAUGACUUGAGUCUGGUAGGGGAACACGGAAUUCCUGGUGUAGCGGUGAAAUGCGCAGAUAUCGGGAGGAACACCUGCGAUGUAGAUGGCUUACUGGACCGUAACUGACGCUGAGGCACGAAAGCGUGGGUAGCAAACAGG
rnacentral:rRNA from 1 species